rnacentral:rRNA from 1 species
UACGGGGGGGCAAGCGUUGUUCGGAAUUACUGGGCGUAAAGGGCGCGUAGGCGGCUCGCUAAGUUAGGUGUGAAAACUCUGGGCUCAACCCAGAGCCUGCACUUAAAACUGACGAGCUAGAGUUCUGGAGGGGAAAGCGGAAUUCCUGGUGUAGCGGUGAAAUGCGCAGAUAUCAGGAAGAACACCCGUGGCUAAGGCGGCUCUCUAGUAACGGGUACUGACGCUG